UACGUAGGGUGCGAGCGUUGUCCGGAAUUAUUGGGCGUAAAGAGCUUGUAGGCGGUUUGUCGCGUCUGCUGUGAAAAUCCGGGGCUCAACCCCGGACUUGCAGUGGGUACGGGCAGACUAGAGUGUGGUAGGGGAGACUGGAAUUCCUGGUGUAGCGGUGAAAUGCGCAGAUAUCAGGAGGAACACCGAUGGCGAAGGCAGGUCUCUGGGCCACUACUGACGCUGAGGAGCGAAAGCCAGGGGAGCAAACGGG
rnacentral:rRNA from 1 species